UACGGGGGGAGCAAGCGUUGUUCGGAUUUACUGGGCGUAAAGGGCGCGUAGGCGGCCACUGCAAGUCGGUUGUGAAAUCUCCGGGCUUAACCCGGAAAGGUCAAUCGAUACUGCAGGGCUAGAGUGCAGAAGGGGCAACUGGAAUUCUCGGUGUAGUGGUGAAAUGCGUAGAUAUCGAGAGGAACACCUGCGGCGAAGGCGGGUUGCUGGGCUGACACUGACGCUGAAGCGCGAAAGCUAGGGGAGCGAACGGG
rnacentral:rRNA from 1 species